CAGUGUGUUGACUGCAAUGAAAUCAAGGCCCUGCCGACCUCUGGGUGGCGCCACCAGGGCCGAGAGGGCAAGAGCAGAUGGCAUCUGCAACUCUGCCAGAGCACAGAUGCAAAUUCGAAGCCACAGCACCUCGCUGGGCAGGAGAAGGUUGGACGGACCGUGAACGCGGCACUCUGUGAAAGUGCGGGAGAGGGACGGGGAGUGGAGACGGGUUCUGAUCAGCUCAACCACGGACACUGCACGAACUCACGUAGGAAUAGUGAGCCUGUGCGCUUCUCCGUCCUGGAUUGGGCUCCCGCUCCCGCCCGCCAAACUGCACAGAGUGAUGUGGUGUUCGGCUUGGACCGCUCCGGGACAUUAAGCUCAUUCUGCGAGUUCACUGUGCUGUGCUUGUGCAAUUUCAGAAUUACAACUGGACGUUGUCGGUGGAGAAAGGAAAUAAAGAGUUCCUUAAAAGUCAAAACUGCAGCUAUUUUUCGCAUCACGCUUGAAUCCCAGUUCAACGGGCUGCAUUCGCCUUGUGGCAUUGACAUGUGUCCGCACAGACAGCCCACAAGCGCAGCACUCCCAGCACAAGAAGACGUAAAGAAAAAGCCUCAAGAUGAACAUCUGCAUCCAGUUUCUGAAUUCUGCGUCUACUGGAAGACAGGACAUUCUGGAAAAGCUCCAUUGUCACCCCAUUUUUUCUGCAUAAAAACAAAUUCAUUUCUAUUUCCAGCUAGCUGUUUAACCCAGACCAAGAACACAAGGCAGAUAAAACUUCCCCCGAGAUAGUAUGCUUCUGACGUAUCUGAAGAGCUAGUCCCCUUCUCCCACCCCAUGGAUCCAGCAGGAAGGUGCACAAUGCAGUUAAGAAUUCACAGCAUGGGUGGGGGUGGAGCUCAGUGGUGCCAUCACCCGCCUCAGAAGCCCAAGGUUCUGAGUUCGAUCCCCAGUACCAAAAAGAAAGAGAGAGAAUUCACAGCAUGGGUUCAGAACCCAGCACUUUCUCUGCUGACCGCGUGACCCUGGUUGAGCACCGGCCUCUCCGGGCCUCAGUUUCCCCUCUGACACCGGGUAGUGAGACCUCCCACUUUGCGGUUUCUGAGAGGGCGCCAUACCUGUGUGCUGCUUAGUAGUCUGUCCCACCGUGACGGGAAGGAGAUGCCAGUCCUCAGCUCUGCUCCUGACAGCCCGCCGAGGCGCCUCCUCUCCUCCUUGGGGCCCAGGCCUGCCCUCCCCGCACUCCACGCAGGGGCCACGGAGCCCCCCGCGCAGCAGAAGCCCCCUUCCUGCCUGCCCUCCAGCCACCUCGCCCCUCACCCACCUCCAGGAGGGCCCCUCCGCCGCCCGCAGUGAGCCACCCCGCCGGAGCUGUGCUCCGCUCCCCGGUUCCCCAGCUACCCCGGCCUCUCUGUCCUCAGGCGGUACUGUUCUCUCUGCCCGGCAUUUCAAGAGCAAAGGUACACUUUAGAUCCUCCUGGGUUUGUGCCACUUCUACGUAGUAGAUGUGCAAUAAAAAGCUUGGGAACGAAUGAAGAAAUUGAAAGAAACGAAAGCAUAGAACACAAGGGGCCAGCACUUUACAGUCUAAAUAUCAUACUGUACGUAAGACCGAAGGCCCUAAUUCAUCACGACCGUGGAAGGCUUUUUCACGUCCUUCCUAAAACUGACUCUGAGAGACAGACGUGACUGAUGUUUCUUUGGGCCACUUUUAUGGAUGGAUACUCGAGGGUUUGCUUUA
rnacentral:lncRNA from 1 species